CGGGCCUAUCUGCAGUCGAGCGGACAGAUGGGAGCUUGCUCCCUGAUGUUAGCGGCGGACGGGUGAGUAACACGUGGGUAACCUGCCUGUAAGACUGGGAUAACUCCGGGAAACCGGGGCUAAUACCGGAUGGUUGUUUGAACCGCAUGGUUCAAACAUAAAAGGUGGCUUCGGCUACCACUUACAGAUGGACCCGCGGCGCAUUAGCUAGUUGGUGAGGUAACGGCUCACCAAGGCAACGAUGCGUAGCCGACCUGAGAGGGUGAUCGGCCACACUGGGACUGAGACACGGCCCAGACUCCUACGGGAGGCAGCAGUAGGGAAUCUUCCGCAAUGGACGAAAGUCUGACGGAGCAACGCCGCGUGAGUGAUGAAGGUUUUCGGAUCGUAAAGCUCUGUUGUUAGGGAAGAACAAGUACCGUUCGAAUAGGGCGGUACCUUGACGGUACCUAACCAGAAAGCCACGGCUAACUACGUGCCAGCAGCCGCGGUAAUACGUAGGUGGCAAGCGUUGUCCGGAAUUAUUGGGCGUAAAGGGCUCGCAGGCGGUUUCUUAAGUCUGAUGUGAAAGCCCCCGGCUCAACCGGGGAGGGUCAUUGGAAACUGGGGAACUUGAGUGCAGAAGAGGAGAGUGGAAUUCCACGUGUAGCGGUGAAAUGCGUAGAGAUGUGGAGGAACACCAGUGGCGAAGGCGACUCUCUGGUCUGUAACUGACGCUGAGGAGCGAAAGCGUGGGGAGCGAACAGGAUUAGAUACCCUGGUAGUCCACGCCGUAAACGAUGAGUGCUAAGUGUUAUGGGGGUUUCCCGCCCCUUAGUGCUGCAGCUAACGCAUUAAGCACUCCGCCUGGGGAGUACGGUCGCAGACUGAAACUCACAGGAAUUGACGGGGGCCCGCCCAUUCGGUGGAACAUGUGGUUUAAUUCGAUGCAACCCCCAGAAUCCUUACAGGGUCUGGCCAU
rnacentral:rRNA from 1 species